ACUUUUAUAGGAUAGUAGGAAUCCGUUGGCCUUAGGAGUCAAAAACUUGGUGCAACUCCAAAUAAAAGUA
rnacentral:tRNA from 1 species